GAUGAACGCUGGCGGCGUGCCUAAUACAUGCAAGUCGAGCGAACAGACGAGGAGCUUGCUCCUCUGACGUUAGCGGCGGACGGGUGAGUAACACGUGGAUAACCUACCUAUAAGACUGGGAUAACUUCGGGAAACCGGAGCUAAUACCGGAUAAUAUAUUGAACCGCAUGGUUCAAUAGUGAAAGACGGUUUUGCUGUCACUUAUAGAUGGAUCCGCGCCGCAUUAGCUAGUUGGUAAGGUAACGGCUUACCAAGGCAACGAUGCGUAGCCGACCUGAGAGGGUGGUCGGCCACACUGGAACUGGGACACCGUCCAGACUCCUACGGGAGGCAGCAGUAGGGAAUCUUCCGCAAUGGGCGAAAGCCUGACGGAGCAACGCCGCGUGAGUGAUGAAGGUCUUCGGAUCGUAAAACUCUGUUAUUAGGGAAGAACAAAUGUGUAAGUAACUAUGCACGGCUUGACGGUACCUAAUCAGAAAGCCACGGCUAACUACGUG
rnacentral:rRNA from 1 species